UACAGAGGUCUCAAGCGUUUGUUCGGAUUCAUUGGGCGUAAAGGGUGCGUAGGCGGCGCGGUAAGUCGGGUGUGAAAUCUUGGAGCUUAACUCCGAAACUGCAUUCGAUACUGCCGUGCUUGAGGACUGGGAGAGGAGACUGGAAUUUACGGUGUAGCGGUGAAAUGCGUAGAUAUCGUAAGGAAGACCAGUGGCGAAGGCGGGUCUCUGGACAGUUCCUGA
rnacentral:rRNA from 1 species